rnacentral:rRNA from 1 species
CGGACGGGUGAGUAACGCGUAGGAACCUAUCGCACAGUGGGGGAUAACACGGGGAAACCGGUGCUAAUACCGCAUGUGGUCAGUGAUGAAGAAAGCGAGUAAUCGCGCUGUGUGAGGGGCCUGCGUCCGAUUAGCUUGUUGGUGGGGUAACGGCCUACCAAGGCGACGAUCGGUAGCUGGUCUGAGAGGAUGGUCAGCCACACUGGGACUGAGACACGGCCCAG